UCCCUCCACUGAUUAAACAAGCUCAACCCCGACUCUGCAGCUGGGAGAGGAGCUCCAGCCCCAGGAUCUCCAGGUGACCCCAUUCAGUGCUCAGGGCACAACACAGACAAACCACCAUGGAGUCUGUGCUCUGCUGGGUUUUCCUUGUCGCUAUUUUAAAAGGUGUCCAGGGUGAGGUGCAGCUGGUGGAGUCUGGGGGAGACCUGGUGAAGCCUGGGGGGUCCCUAAGACUGUCCUGUGUGGCCUCCGGAUUCACUUUCAGUAGCUAUGCGAUGCUCUGGGUCCGCCAGGCUCCAGGGAAGGGGCUGCAGUGGGUCGCAAUUAUUAGCAGGGAUGGAAGUAGCACAUACUACGCAGACGCUGUGAAGGGCCGAUUCACCAUCUCCAGAGACAACGCCAAGAACACGCUGUAUCUACAGAUGAACAGCCUGAGAGCUGAGGACACGGCCAUGUAUUACUGUGCGAAGGACACAGUGAGUCGACCUCAGUGUGUCCAGGGUGAGGAGCAGUUGGUGAAGUCUGGGGGAGACCUGGUGAAGCCUGGCGUGUCCCUGAGACUCUUCUGUGAGUCCACUACGUUCACCUUUCAUAGCUACAGCAUGCAUUGA